UACGUAGGGUGCAAGCGUUGUCCGGAAUUAUUGGGCGUAAAGAGCUCGUAGGCGGUUCGUCGCGUCGGCUGUGAAAACCCGGAGCUCAACUCCGGGCCUGCAGUCGAUACGGGCGGACUUGAGUGUUGCAGGGGAGACUGGAAUUCCUGGUGUAGCGGUGAAAUGCGCAGAUAUCAGGAGGAACACCGAUGGCGAAGGCAGGUCUCUGGGCCAUAACUGACGCUGAGACGCGAAAGCGUGGGUAGCAAACAGG
rnacentral:rRNA from 1 species